rnacentral:tRNA from 1 species
GCGACUGUAGCUCAGCUGGAUAGAGUACAUGACUACGAAUCAUGGGGUCGGGGUUUCGAAUACCUCCAGUCGCGCCA